rnacentral:rRNA from 1 species
GAGAGUUUGAUCCUGGCUCAGGACGAACGCUGGCGGCGUGCCUAAUACAUGCAAGUCGAACGCUUCUUUCCUCCCGAGUGCUUGCACUCAAUUGGAAAGAGGAGUGGCGGACGGGUGAGUAACACGUGGGUAACCUACCCAUCAGAGGGGGAUAACACUUGGAAACAGGUGCUAAUACCGCAUAACAGUUUAUGCCGCAUGGCAUAAGAGUGAAAGGCGCUUUCGGGUGUCGUUGAUGGAUGGACCCGCGGUGCAUUAGCUAGUUGGUGAGGUAACGGCUCACCAAGGCCACGAUGCAUAGCCGACCUGAGAGGGUGAUCGGCCACACUGGGACUGAGACACGGCCCAGACUCCUACGGGAGGCAGCAGUAGGGAAUCUUCGGCAAUGGACGAAAGUCUGACCGAGCAACGCCGCGUGAG